GUGAAGUUGAUCACUACAAACAUAUACCCCUUUGUUUGACCGUGAAAAAUUUCUCCCAUCCCCUUUGUUCGUAUAAAUAGAGAAAGGCCUUACAGCUUGCUGUAAGGCCUUUUC
rnacentral:sRNA from 1 species